GACGAACGCUGGCGGCGUGCUUAACACAUGCAAGUCGAACGGAAAGGCCCUGCUUUUGUGGGGUGCUCGAGUGGCGAACGGGUGAGUAACACGUGAGUAACCUGCCCUUGACUGUGGGAUAACUUCAGGAAACCGGGGCUAAUACCGGAUAGGAGCUCCUGCUGCAUGGGGGGGGUUGGAAAGUUUCGGCGGUUGGGGAUGGACUCGCGGCUUAUCAGCUUGUUGGUGGGGUAGUGGCUUACCAAGGCUUUGGCGGGUAGCCGGCCUGGGAGGGUGACCGGCCACAUGGGGACUGAGAUACGGACCAGACUCCUACGGGAGGCAGCAGUGGGGAAUAUUGCACAAUGGGCGGAAGCCUGAUGCAGAAGCGCCGCGUGCGGGAUGACGGCCUUCGGGUUGUAAACCGCUUUCGCCUGUGACGAAGCGUGAGUGACGGUAAUGGGUAAAGAAGCACCGGCUAACUACGUG
rnacentral:rRNA from 1 species